rnacentral:rRNA from 1 species
UACGUAGGUGGCAAGCGUUAUCCGGAAUUAUUGGGCGUAAAGCGCGCGCAGGUGGUUUCUUAAGUCUGAUGCGAAAGCCCACGGCUCAACCGUGGAGGGUCAUUGGAAACUGGGAGACUUGAGUGCAGAAGAGGAAAGUGGAAUUCCAUGUGUAGCGGUGAAAUGCGUAGAGAUAUGGAGGAACACCAGUGGCGAAGGCGACUUUCUGGUCUGUAACUGACACUGAGGCGCGAAAGCGUGGGGAGCAAACGGG